CGGGGUGUAGCGCAGUCCGGUUAGCGCACCUGCUUUGGGAGCAGGGGGUCGNNGUGGUUCGAAUCCACUCACCCCGA
rnacentral:tRNA from 1 species